rnacentral:rRNA from 1 species
AUUUUUAAACUUCUACACCUAAAAAUAAUCUUAAUCCAACAUCGAGGUCGCAAUCUUUUUUAUCGAUAAGUUCUCUCAAAAAAUAUUACGCUGUUAUCCCUUAAGUAACUUAAUCUUUUAAUCAUUAAUAACGGAUCAAUUCAUUAAUCAAUGAAAAAAAGUUUAUUAAAUUUUCCUAUCACCCCAAUAAAAUAUUAUAUAAAGCUUUAAAGGGUCUUCUCGUCCUUCAAUGAAAUUUAAGCUUUUUAACUCAAAAAUUAAAUUCUAAAUCAUUUAUAAUAAGACAGUUAAUAUUUCAUUCAAUCAUUCAUUCCAGCUUCUAAUUAAGAAACUAUUGAUUAUGCUACCUUUGCACAGUCAAAAUACCGCGGCCUUUU